rnacentral:rRNA from 1 species
AUACCAUUUGGAAACAGAUGCUAAUACCGGAUAAAAGCUACUUUCGCAUGAAAGAAGUUUAAAAGGCGGCGUAAAGCUGUCGCUAAAGGGAUGGACCCUGCGAUGCAUUAGCUAGUUGGUAAGGUAACGGCUUACCAAGGCGAUGAUGCAUAGCCCGAGUUGAGAGACUGAUCGGCCACAUUGGGACUGAGACACGGCCCAAAACUCCUACGGGAGGCAGCAGUAGGGAAAUCUUCCACAAUGGACGAAAGUCUGAUGGAGCAACGCCGCGUGAGUGAAGAAGGUUUUCGGAUCGUAAAGCUCUGUUGUUGGUGAAGAAGGAUAGAGGUAGUAACUGGCCUUUAUUUGACGGUAAUCAACCAGAAAGUCACGGCUAACUACGUGCCAGCAGCCGCGGGUAAU